rnacentral:tRNA from 1 species
AGGCGGUUAGUUUAAGUAAAACAUUUGAUUUCGGCUCAAAAACCUGCGGUUAAAAUCCUCAACCACCUA